UAGGGAAUCUUCGGCAAUGGACGGAAGUCUGACCGAGCAACGCCGCGUGAGUGAAGAAGGUUUUCGGAUCGUAAAGCUCUGUUGUAAGAGAAGAACGAGUGUGAGAGUGGAAAGUUCACACUGUGACGGUAACUUACCAGAAAGGGACGGCUAACUACGUGCCAGCAGCCGCGGUAAUACGUAGGUCCCGAGCGUUGUCCGGAUUUAUUGGGCGUAAAGCGAGCGCAGGCGGUUAGAUAAGUCUGAAGUUAAAGGCUGUGGCUUAACCAUAGUACGCUUUGGAAACUGUUUAACUUGAGUGCAAGAGGGGAGAGUGGAAUUCCAUGUGUAGCGGUGAAAUGCGUAGAUAUAUGGAGGAACACCGGUGGCGAAAGCGGCUCUCUGGCUUGUAACUGACGCUGAGGCUCGAAAGCGUGGGGAGCAAACAGGAUUAGAUACCCUGGUAGUCCACGCCGUAAACGAUGAGUGCUAGGUGUUAGACCCUUUCCGGGGUUUAGUGCCGUAGCUAACGCAUUAAGCACUCCGCCUGGGGAGUACGACCGCAAGGUUG
rnacentral:rRNA from 1 species